GCGCUGUUUGUAGUGACCCUGCUUUCCGCUCCGAGGGUCGUGGGUUCGAUUCCCAUCCCGAAUCUGGGUGUAAUAUAAAUAUUUAUAUAUAUAU